AUGAAGUGCAUUCUUAGGUCUCAGGGGGAGAUCAUUAGGAACACAAGGAAGGAGAGGGAUGAGAUGAAGAAAGAGAGGGACUGGCUGAUAGAGGAGAAGAAGAAGCUGGAGUUUCUAGUGGGUGAUCUUAUGAAAGCUGGUAAUGGCAACAAGGACAAGCUUGCCAAGAUCAAGUCAAUCCUUGAUGAGUGA
rnacentral:rRNA from 1 species